CUGAAGGUCCCUCCUCUCAACACUGUUGCCUUGGGGAUUAAGUUUCCAGCACAUGAACCUUGGGGAACACAUUCACACCAUAGUAUACACCAUUGGUCAGAGGACAGCAGCUAAUAUAUUAAAUGGUGACCCUUGACUCCGGUGCUGGCCCUAUCUGCUCAAGUCUAGAGGCUGGAGGGGCCAGGUGGUUUAAAGCGUGGCCCCAGCAGGGUUUGUGGUCUGGGCAGCUUUUCCUUAAAGUGAAUGUGAGUGAGGCAGAAACUGUACCAUCACUAGGACCAUGUGAUUGGAGCUCAGGAUUCCAGAUUUCCUGCCCAGAACAUUUCCCAUGAAAUUGUCAUUUCUUUAUUCAGCAGACAUGUCGUAAUGCUUGUUAAAUGUCAAUUAUGAAUAUCUUCUUCCUCCUCCUCUUCUUCCUUCUUGCCCCCAGAAGCUUAUGAUAUAAUGAAGAUAAAGGCAGGAAAAUAAUUAGAAAACAUGAGCACUUUAGAAGAAGUAUAAACAAUAACCACUUACUGUAAGCGGUAGCUACUGUUAUUGUUUAUGCAUCUUCUAAAGUGUUCAUUUAUUCUCAUUAUUUUCUUGUCUUUAUCUUUAUUAUAUCAUGUAUCUGACUGGUACGUAUACCAGUCACUGCUGAUCACUUUACAUAUGUUUUCUCAUUUAAUCUUUACAACUCCCCUGUGAUGCCAGCACCACAUUUCACACAUGUGGAAGGAAACAGGCUCAGAGAGUGAUCCACAGAUAAUAAACAGCACAGCAGGGCUCUGAUGCUAAAGCCUGUUCUGUUAACCACUGUGCAGUCUUCACCAUGCUGUUAGAGCACAGGGGACCAUCUUGGCCUAGGUAGAAGGACAGGGACGACUGGAGAAAGCAGUGGACUUCCAGGAGGAGGUGACAUCUGAGCUCAUCAUGAGCAAGCUUUCCUCAGUCAAGUGUUGGCAAGGCUCACUGUAAACAGAGGAAGCCACAUGUGGGAAUAGCAAGAUGCCAGCAGAGUACAGGGAAAAGCUAGAGUGGGGGUGUGAGUGGGAAGAGGGCCAGGAGCACAUUGCACGACCCAUGAGUGAGCGCCUCCCUACUUCUGUACCCUCGGUCCCUUUGCCCUGACCCUAUUCCUAGCCCUGGCGGAGAAUGUGAAGAUGAGGCCAGAGGGAACAUUGAGAAGAAGGAUCUCAGAGAAGAAGGAAAAUUCAGCAGAACCUAGGAAGUGCAACUGCUAUUGCCUGGGCCUUUGUUCCUGGAAUGGACUCUGAGAGUGCAUGAUGCAGCUUGGAGGACGUCUCCUCUGGGAUCCCUCCCCACUGCCCCCACCGCUUCCUGGGGUGAAUGAGUCCUCUGUAGCCAUCAGGAUUCGCUGUAUCAGGAGUGUUCCUCUGCUGUCACCUCUGAUGACUAUUUUCCUCAAUUCAGAAUCCCCAGCACCUGCAAAAGGCCUGGAUAAAGAAGGGGCUGAGCAGGAACAGAGGAUUGCAGUUCUUAGGAUGGCCACGCGAGGGAAGUGGUGAGCAGCCUCCAGGAGGACUUCGGCUCGGCUGUGCCAAGGCACCUGCUGAGGACCCAGAUGGCCCGCCUGGGGUUUCCGGGACUUCCCGGCCCCUAAACAUGUGGGCGCUGGCCAGAGCGCCGCAGGAGAAGCCUCUGCCAGGUGCUCGGUCUCGACUCUCACAGCCCCAGCCAUCCCUCCUGCUCGUCCCCGUCUCGGCUUGGAGGGGCUGGCGGGCAGGAGGGGACAGGGUAGGGGGCAACCAGGAUAUAUCCCCUCCGUUUUGUCAUUUGUCUUUCAAACUGACUUAUGGCCAUUUCUUCUGUAUAGAAGCCUUGUAGUCAAACAUUUCCAUGUUUUCUCUUAUGGCUUCUAGGUUUCAUCAUGCUUAGAAAGUCUUUUCCAUCUCCAAGAUUAUUAAAAUAUUCACUCAUGUCUUUUUUCUGAUACAUUAUGGUGUUAAAUAUGUGGUCCACCUGGAAUUUAUUUCAGUGUCGAAUAAGGGCACAGCUUUUUGUAAUUUCCCCAAAAGACUUGCUGGUUAUU
rnacentral:lncRNA from 1 species